rnacentral:rRNA from 1 species
CUUUGCUGGCGACCGGCGCACGGGUGAGUAACACGUAUCCAACCUGCCGAUGACUCGGGGAUAGCCUUUCGAAAGAAAGAUUAAUACCCGAUGGCAUAGUUCUUCCGCGUGGUAGAACUAUUAAAGAAUUUCGGUCAUCGAUGGGGAUGCGUUCCAUUAGGUUGUUGGCGGGGUAACGGCCCACCAAGCCUUCGAUGGAUAGGGGUUCUGAGAGGAAGGUCCCCCACAUUGGAACUGAGACACGGUCCAAACUCCUACGGGAGGCAGCAUG